AUACGAAGGGGGCUAGCGUUGUUCGGAAUCACUGGGCGUAAAGCGCGCGUAGGUGGAUCAAUUAGUUGAGGGUGAAAUCCCGGGGCUCAACCUCGGAACUGCCUUCAAUACUGUUGAUCUUGAGACCGAGAGAGGUGAGUGGAAUUCCUAGUGUAGAGGUGAAAUUCGUAGAUAUUAGGAAGAACACCAGUGGCGAAGGCGGCUCACUGGCUCGGUACUGACGCUGAGGUGCGAAAGCGUGGGGAGCAAACAGGAUUAGAUACCCUUGUAGUCC
rnacentral:rRNA from 1 species